GACCAAAGGGGGCGAGCGCAAGCAGCUUCCACCGAAGGAGGAGCCUGCGUCCGAUUAGCUAGUUGGUGGGGUAACGGCCUACCAAGGCGACGAUCGGUAGCCGGCCUGAGAGGGCGACCGGCCACACUGGAACUGAGACACGGUCCAGACUCCUACGGGAGGCAGCAGUGGGGAAUAUUGCGCAAUGGGCGAAAGCCUGACGCAGCGACGCCGCGUGGGUGAUGAAGGCCUUCGGGUUGUAAAGCCCUGUCUGGUGGAACGAAUGGCUUAGCGGCGAAUAACCGCUAGGUGUGACGGUACCACCGAAGGAAGCCCCGGCUAACUACGUGCCAGCAGCCGCGGUAAGACGUAGGGGGCGAGCGUUGUUCGGAUUUACUGGGCGUAGAGCGCGCGUAGGCGGCCAGAUAAGUCGGGUGUGAAAUCCCUCGGCUCAACCGAGGGUCCGCAUCUGAUACUGCUUGGCUCGAGUCUAGGAGAGGAAAGCGGAAUUCCCAGUGUAGCGGUGAAAUGCGUAGAUAUUGGGAGGAACACCGGUGGCGAAGGCGGCUUUCCGGACUAGCACUGACGCUGAGGCGCGAAAGCUAGGGGAGCGAACGGGAUUAGAUACCCCGGUAGUCCUAGCCGUAAACGAUGGGCACUAGGUGUGGGAGGUAUUGACCCCUUCCGCGCCGAAGCUAACGCAUUAAGUGCCCCGCCUGGGGAGUACGGCCGCAAGGCUAAAACUCAAAGGAAUUGACGGGGGCCCGCACAAGCGGUGGAGCAUGUGGUUUAAUUCGACGCAACGCGAAGAACCUUACCAGGGCUUGACAUCCCACGAAUCUGCCUGAAAGGGCGGAGUGCCCGCAAGGGAGCGUGGAGA
rnacentral:rRNA from 1 species